GUCGAGCGGAAGGCCUUUCGGGGUACUCGAGCGGCGAACGGGUGAGUAACACGUGAGUAAUCUGCCCUUGGCUUUGGGAUAACUACCGGAAACGGUGGCUAAUACCGGAUACGACGCAGGUCUGCAUGGACUCUGUGUGGAAAGUUUUUUCGGCCAGGGAUGUGCUCGCGGCCUAUCAGCUUGUUGGUGGGGUAAUGGCCUACCAAGGCUUCGACGGGUAGCCGGCCUGAGAGGGUGACCGGCCACACUGGGACUGAGACACGGCCCAGACUCCUACGGGAGGCAGCAGUGGGGAAUAUUGGACAAUGGGCGGAAGCCUGAUCCAGCAACGCCGCGUGAGGGAUGACGGCCUUCGGGUUGUAAACCUCUUUCAGUACCGACGAAGCGCCGAUGAUGGUGGUGACGGUAGGUACAGAAGAAGCACCGGCCAACUACGUGCCAGCAGCCGCGGUAAUACGUAGGGUGCGAGCGUUGUCCGGAAUUAUUGGGCGUAAAGGGCUCGUAGGCGGUUUGUCGCGUCGGGAGUGAAAAUCCAGGGCUUAACUCUGGACUGGCUUUCGAUACGGGCAGACUAGAGGUAUGCAGGGGAGAACGGAAUUCCUGGUGUAGCGGUGAAAUGCGCAGAUAUCAGGAGGAACACCGGUGGCGAAGGCGGUUCUCUGGGCAUUACCUGACGCUGAGGAGCGAAAGUGUGGGGAGCG
rnacentral:rRNA from 1 species